AGAGUUUGAUCAUGGCUCAGAUUGAACGCUGGCGGCAGGCCUAACACAUGCAAGUCGAACGGUAACAGGAAGCAGCUUGCUGCUUUGCUGACGAGUGGCGGACGGGUGAGUAAUGUCUGGGAAACUGCCUGAUGGAGGGGGAUAACUACUGGAAACGGUAGCUAAUACCGCAUAACGUCGCAAGACCAAAGAGGGGGACCUUCGGGCCUCUUGCCAUCGGAUGUGCCCAGAUGGGAUUAGCUUGUUGGUGGGGUAACGGCUCACCAAGGCGACGAUCCCUAGCUGGUCUGAGAGGAUGACCAGCCACACUGGAACUGAGACACGGUCCAGACUCCUACGGGAGGCAGCAGUGGGGAAUAUUGCACAAUGGGCGCAAGCCUGAUGCAGCCAUGCCGCGUGUAUGAAGAAGGCCUUCGGGUUGUAAAGUACUUUCAGCG
rnacentral:rRNA from 1 species